GUUUGACUGUGUGUGGAUGGUGUUCAGCACCAAGGACAGAUGUGUUUACCUGUGUGUGGAUGGUGUUCAGCACCAAGGACAGGUGUGUUUGGUU
rfam:Branchiostoma floridae genomic scaffold BRAFLscaffold_196, whole genome shotgun sequence.